rnacentral:sRNA from 1 species
GCCCCAGGCUGGCCGGGAGUGGCCCCUCACACUGGUUCUCCCCACUUUCUCUGCCUGUGGCAUCGAAGGCCCCGGGCACCAUGGCCCAGGCCCUGGGGGAGGACCUGGUGCAGCCUCCCGAGCUGCAGGAUGACUCCAGCUCUUUGGGGUCCGACUCAGAGCUCAGCGGGCCUGGCCCAUAUCGCCAGGCCGACCGCUAUGGAUUCAUUGGGGGCAGCUCAGCAGAGCCAGGGCCGGGCCACCCACCUGCAGACCUCAUCCGCCAACGGGAGAUGAAGUGGGUGGAGAUGACCUCGCACUGGGAGAAAACCAUGUCCCGGCGGUACAAGAAGGUAAAGAUGCAGUGCCGGAAAGGCAUCCCGUCUGCCCUGCGCGCCCGAUGCUGGCCCCUGUUGUGUGGGGCCCAUGUGUGCCAGAAGAACAGCCCUGGCACCUAUCAGGAGCUGGCAGAGGCCCCUGGAGACCCACAGUGGAUGGAGACCAUUGGCAGGGACCUGCACCGUCAGUUCCCUCUGCACGAGAUGUUUGUGUCGCCUCAGGGCCACGGCAGGGGCUCCUGCAGGUGCUCAAGGCCUACACCCUGUAUCGACCGGAGCAGGGCUACUGCCAGGCCCAGGGGCCCGUGGCUGCUGUGCUGCUCAUGCACCUGCCCCCGGAGGAGGCCUUCUGGUGCCUGGUGCAGAUCUGUGAGGUCUACCUCCCUGGGUACUACGGGCCCCACAUGGUGAGAGGCUGACAUGGGGGCUGGAGGAAGGAGGGGCAGGGGCCCGGUGAGUGGGUGGGGGUCUGGGGACUGAGGGAGGUUGAGCCUGGGCUCUGGGGGUGGCGGUGCUGGCCUGCUGAUGGACGUGGCCACAGGAGGCUGUGCGGCUGGACGCCGAGGUGUUCAUGGCCCUGCUGCGGCGGCUGCUUCCGCACGUGCACAAGCACCUGCAGCAGGUGGGCGUCGGGCCCCUGCUGUACC